rnacentral:rRNA from 1 species
AUUGAACGCUGGCGGCAGGCCUAACACAUGCAAGUCGAACGAGUGGCGGACGGGUGAGUAAUGUCUGGGAAACUGCCUGAUGGAGGGGGAUAACUACUGGAAACGGUAGCUAAUACCGCAUACCCUCAGAUGUGCCCAGAUGGGAUUAGCUUGUGGGUGGGGUAAAGGCGCACCCAGGCGACGCUCCCUAGCUGGUCUGAGAGGAUGACCAGCCACACGGGAACUGAGACACGGUACAGACUCCUACGGGAGGCAGCAGUGGGGAAUAUUGCACAAUGGGCGCAAGCCUGAUGCAGCCAUGCCGCGUGUAUGAAGAAGGCCUUCGGGUUGUAAAGUACUUUCAGCGGGGAGGCGUUACCCGCAGAAGAAGCACCGGCUAACUCCGUGCCAGCAGCCGCGGUAAUAC